GAUAUUACGGGGGAGGUAGAGACCAGCUGACCUCACACUGACCAAUGGGGAGCUUCUGUGUCUGGCAUUCGUUCGCCCCUUUUCCUUUCGUUGGCAAGAGGAAAGGGUCGGGGGUGGGGGGUCCUACCGCCCUCCUUCCCCUCCUUUCCUAUUUCCCUUCUUCAAUCUCCCGUUCCCUUUCUCUCUUCCUAAUUCUCAUUCAGUCUCUCUUUCUAAUCUUCCUCCGGUUCCCGGUGAGAUUGCGCAAUCACAUCGGGGUCCUCCGCGCGUUAAAUUGAUUCGCGCACUCUCCCCGCGUGUCUUCUUCCGUCUUUUGUUAAAACCCAUUAAACAAAACAAAAACUCACACACGCACGCGCGCCCUCCCUGAGAGAGAAGGAGAGGGUGGUGGGGCUGGUUUGCUUCUGCACCACCAGAGGCAACCGAAUAAUAAAACAUAUUCCCGGUGCUUUGCAGAUAAUACCGACCGCGUUAAAAUGAAUAUGGCGCGCGUAAAUCACAGCCGAGGGCGAGCACGGAUCCCGUGCAUGCGCGCGCGCGCGUGUGGUGCGGAUGUGAGUCAGUCUACAAUAUAAUGUGAUCCGUGCACGUCUAUAACUGAGGUGUUUGUAAAUAUGUAAUUGGUAGGAUUUGGGUUGGUGGGCAGAUUUAUGCCCCCCACACGCCCCCUGCCCCGGACAGUGAGGGGAGGUGUGUGUGUCCCCUUCCCACCACAGACCUUUUCACCGCGGUUAUGUUCUCCAUCAGAUGGAUAACUGGUAAUCUGGGAGGGAUUCGCUGAACAUGAUCUGAUGUGGAUGUGUUAUUGAUGAGAAAUAACCCGGGUGAACGCCUCGUGUUUUGCCGUGUGAACGCUACACUAUACCGGAUCCCGGAUCUGUGGACCGUUGAGGUGUUCCAGGAGCAGGUUGGAUCAACGUGUGCGGACGCUACGUUUCCUCCGCGCUUUGUGGGAACGGGAAGCAGCAGCAUUGUGUUUGAGAUGGCUGCGGUUUAAUCAUUAAUGAGAGCUCUAACAGUCGGGACAGGACAGGCAUGGCCUACAGCCUGGGAUCCACACACUGGACGUAAAUCAGACGGUAUGUCUGUGACGGAACUGCAGUGUAAACAGUUGCGAGCUGCUGCAGGAACUCCAGGAAUCUGAACAACUUCAGAGAUUAUCGACAAUUAAAGCUGGAGGGGAACAACUUCAAAUCUUCAAUUUUGCCAAGUAUUCUUUCAUCGGCUGGACGGGGAGGCAGUUCGAGCCGGCUGCCUUGUGUCCUUCACGGCACCGUGAGCUCGUGCUCCAGGUCAGCUCACCGGACUGUUACCGGUGGAUGCGAGGCCCUCAGCCCCAGCAGCGCUGCGGGACGAGUUAACAAUUAACGGGCGGAUGAAUGCAGCAUCACGGGGAGGGCCGCGUGUUUUUCCUCUGAGUUCCUGGUAAACAUGCAUGAAGCGGACACGCGCACAUGCAGGUGUGCGUCAUAGCAUGUGUUCACAAAGAUUUUAGUUCAGUAAAACUAUUCAUCGGAAGAUGUUGUGGUAUUAGCAACAUAAAUCAUUGAACCAAACGAUUUAUUAUUGCUAUUGCAUUUUUAAUACAACUAAAGCAAAUCACUUAUGUGAUAUUAUUAUUAUUAUUAUUACAUGCUGUUAAUUUACGUUAUUUAUGUUAAUGUUUUCUUCUACAACUAUUACUGUGUACAACUUUAUGUCGAUGCCGUUAAUACCAAAUAUUCUAAAAAAAGUUCCACCGCCUGGAAAUUGCAUUUGAAUAAUGAAGUGGAAUUCCCUUCGGGUACUGAAAUAAUCAUAAUCUCCCGCCACACAAAAAAAUCUAAUCACGGUGCUCGGAUGUCAAGAAGAAAAGAUAUAGAUGAGAGAGCAAGGAAAAGAAGGGGGGGGGGGAUAUUGAUUUUCCAUCUGAUCUUAAUGCACUGUUGUUGAUUUUGAACGCCGGAUUAAAGUCAGAUGAUGCUGGGGCCAUGAAUCAUAGACAACACUGUGGACUACUGCCCCCCCCCCCAGCCGUCCCUCCACAACAGCCGUUUUGAAAUGAUCACACGCACAAAUGAACACACCCACAUCUGAGUGCAUAUAUUUGGGGGGUUGAACAGCAGAUCUGCAGAUGAGCGCCAGUAAAGAUGAUGAAGUCGCAGAGCAAGGACGAGUUAUUAGUUUACACUUACCACACACGUGCGCGCGCAUGCACACACGCCCGCAGGCAUACAAUAAGGCCGCUGGUUGCCUCUGUUGAUCGAAACAGCGACCCUGACCACAUUUUACAUACUAAGCUUCUGUUUACUUGGGCACAGCGUGCCACACACACACACACACACACACACACACACACACACAUUUAGGUUUGGCUUUGUCCAUGCAUCAUUUCCCACAGUGUAACAGCAGCCAGGCCUAACCUUGGAGAGGGAGGGGGAGAGAGAGAAAAGCCCUUCUCUCUCUCUCUCUCUGUCUCUCCUGCCAUGCCAGUAAUCUGUAUCUCUCUUCAUUUACCUCAGAUAAAGACAACCAUUGAGACAAAAGACCAAAAUGGACGCGUCACACUUAUAAACACGCUCACGUGCGUCAAGAGCGGUCUGGUUUAAUUCCCAGGAAGUCAACAAAGGAAAGUUGCAGGCACAUCAUCGGUUUGCAAAUACAACAAAGACCUCACGCGCGCACACACCGACAGAGACACAGUUAGUAGGAAAUACACGGCGUGUAUGGUUGUAUUAAGAUGCUCAGAUUAAUGAAAAUAUGCAUAGGGAAAGCGUGUGUGGGUGUGUGUGUGCGUUAGAGAGAGUGAGAGAUAGAGAGAGAGAGAGAGAGAGAGAGAGAGAGAGAGAGAGAGAGAGAGAGAGAGAGAGAGAGAGAGAGAAAGAGAGAGAGAGAGUUUGCCACUGCUGUCAGAACGACGCUAGAUGGCACCAGAGCGUUUUGGAGGAGCGCGCCGUGGCUACUGGGAGGCUUCACAGCCGAGCACCGCUGGCAGGCAGCAGCCUGUGUCAGUGUGUCCACCGCUGCUGGAGCUUCACACACGAUCCAGCGACCUGGAGCAGCCGGGAGAGGAGCCGGCCCCUCACUCCUCACAGUCUGUGUCAUUUAUUGACACGUCACGCUGUAAACAUCAGAUUUUAUCGUAUUUUUGGGUUGUUACAUUUAUAUUUCAAUUGUGUCUGGACUGUAAACCUGCGACUGCAAAAUUGUAUUCAAGGAGAACAACAAGAGCCUUGUAUGUGAUUUAUAGUUUGCCCGCAUAUGAUGGACUGACAUUGAUCUGUGCGGAUGCUUUUAAUGCAGAUGUGUGAUAUAUGACUAGUAUCUGCAUAUUUAUAUAAAUAAACGCAUGAAACUUGACUCAGUCCAAACACUCAAAAAUCACAUUAACAAAGAGAAAGAACGUAAUCAAUUUUAGAACUAGCUAAUGAUGUAAAUAAUUUGGAUCAGUCUAUGAAGAAUUAUACAUGUUAUUGAGCUAUUAGCUUUUAUUAUAUAAAUGUUAUAAUAAUUAUAAUUUUUAUUAUCAUUUUUGCAAUAAUAAUUGCUACUGUAUAGGGAUGAGCAGAAAUAACGUGGUAAAUGAAAGGAUAAAUUGUAAAAUUUGAGAUCUGUUUCCCGUCUCUUUAUUGUGGUAGACUAGGUUAGAUCCUCUGAGACUAGUUUGAUACUUAUUCAUUCAUAUUUAUUAAUGAAGUUGUCUUAUUUCAUAAGGUCAAUAUUAAAGGCGUAAAUCUG